rnacentral:rRNA from 1 species
UGCAUAUCCAAUAAGCGGAGGAAAAGAAACCAACCGGGAUUGCCUUAGUAACGGCGAGUGAAGCGGCAAAAGCUCAAAUUUGAAAUCUGGUACCUUCGGUGCCCGAGUUGUAAUUUGGAGAGGGCAACUUUGGGGCCGUUCCUUGUCUAUGUUCCUUGGAACAGGACGUCAUAGAGGGUGAGAAUCCCGUGUGGCGAGGAGUGCGGUUCUUUGUAAAGUGCCUUCGAAGAGUCGAGUUGUUUGGGAAUGCAGCUCUAAGUGGGUGGUAAAUUCCAUCUAAAGCUAAAUAUUGGCGAGAGACCGAUAGCGAACAAGUACAGUGAUGGAAAGAUGAAAAGAACUUUGAAAAGAGAGUGAAAAAGUACGUGAAAUUGUUGAAAGGGAAGGGCAUUUGAUCAGACAUGGUGUUUUGU